rnacentral:rRNA from 1 species
UGGGGAAUAUUGCACAAUGGGCGAAAGCCUGAUGCAGCGACGCCGCGUGAGGGAUGACGGCCUUCGGGUUGUAAACCUCUUUCAGCAGGGAAGAAGCGAAAGCGACGGUACCUGCAGAAGAGGCGCCGGCUAACUACGUGCCAGCAGCCGCGGUAAUACGUAGGGCGCAAGCGUUGUCCGGAAUUAUUGGGCGUAAAGAGCUCGUAGGCGGCUUGUCACGUCGGGUGUGAAAGCUCGGGGCUUAACCCCGAGUCUGCAUUCGAUACGGGCUAGCUAGAGUUCGGUAGGGGAGAUCGGAAUUCCUGGUGUAGCGGUGAAAUGCGCAGAUAUCAGGAGGAACACCGGUGGCGAAGGCGGAUCUCUGGGCCGAUACUGACGCUGAGGAGCGAAAGCGUGGGGAGCGAACAGGAUUAGAUACCCUGGUAGUCCACGCCGUAAACGGUGGGCACUAGGUGUGGGCAACAUUCCACGUUGUCCGUGCCGCAGCUAACGCAUUAAGUGCCCCGCCUGGGGAGUACGGCCGCAAGGCUAA